rnacentral:rRNA from 1 species
AGUAAGGAUUUUCAUCCACUCUGAACGCACCUGAUGUUGUCUGAUCUCAGAAGCUAAGCAGGGUCAGGCCUGGUUAGUACUUGGGUGAAAAUAGGAUAUUCUUAAUA